rnacentral:rRNA from 1 species
GAUGAACGCUGGCGGCGUGCCUAAUACAUGCAAGUCGAGCGAACGGACGAGGAGCUUGCUUCUCUGAUGUUAGCGGCGGACGGGUGAGUAACACGUGGAUAACCUACCUAUAAGACUGGGAUAACUUCGGGAAACCGGCGCUAAUACCGGAUGAUAUUUUGAACCGCAUGGUUCAAAAGUGAAAGACGGUCUUGCUGUCACGUAUAGAUGGAUCCGCGCUGCAUUAGCUAGUUGGUAAGGUAACGGCUUACCACGGCGACGAUGCAUAGCCGACCUGAGAGAGUGAUCGCCGACACUGGAACUGAGACGCGGUCCAGACUCCUACGGGAGGCAGCAGUAGGGAAUCUGACGCAAUGGGCGAAAGCCUGACGGAGCAACGCCGCGUGAGUGAUGAAGGUCUUCGGAUCGUAAAACUCUGUUAUUAGGGAAGAACAUAUGUGUAAGUAACUGUGCACAGCUUGACGGUACUUAAUCAGAAAGCCACGGCUAACUACGUG